GAUCCGCCUUGGUAUUUGGCACACGUUUCACGCUGGAUGCCCUUCCUGACGCAACUCCAGUUUUACCUGGAAGAGCACACAUUCGCUGGUUCUCC